GCUAUCUUAUUCAGGCCACCUGUAUACCAGCAACGUUAUGGAGCCGUACUGGAACUAUCUAGAAAAAUAGAACCAAAGAAAGUAAUUGACAUGGGCUGUGCUGAAUGCAAGCUUCUCAAAUCAUUAAAGUUCCACAGACACAUUGAAUCACUUAUCGGUAUUGAUAUAAAUGAGUCUUUACUUCAAUCAAAUCAGACUCACUCCAACCACUCAUCACUGAUUAUCUACAUAGACGCAGUAGACCAUUGAAAAUACAAUUAUUUAAAGGUAAUAAAGAGAGCACAAUUAAUUUAUGAAGAUCAGCCUGUUAGGUACAAAUGCAUGGCCUUUAUAUACAGAAUCGUAGCCUUCCAUCAUUUUAUUCAUACUUAUGUAUUUCAUCAUUCCAUGCAUUCUUAUUGAUUAGUGGGAAAAGGCAAUAAUUGUUUAUUGUUUUUGUUUGACAUUUAUUUAGUUGUGGUUAUUAUUAUUAUUAUUAUUAUUAUUAUUAUUAUUAUUAUUAUUAUUAUUAUUAUUAUUAUUAUUAUUAUGAGAGAGAGAAGGAGAGAUGUGGGAAAAGGGGGAGAAACCCAUAAUCACAAAAA